AGUAAAAGUCGUAACAAGGUUUCCGUAGGUGAACCUGCGGAAGGAUCAUUACCGAGAGGAGGACCUCGCGUCCCCGGGGGGCUUCGGCCCCCACUCUUCACCCUGUGCGUACCCACCGUUGUUGCUUCGGCGCGCGGUCCGCGCCUGUUGCUCCGGGGACUCCCCCCGGGCGCUUCGCCGCGGCCCCGCCGGAGGCCUUUCAAACCCCGUCAUCAGUGUCGUCUGAGGAGAAAUCCAAUAACUAAAACUUUCAACAACGGAUCUCUUGGUUCUGGCAUCGAUGAAGAACGCAGCGAAAUGCGAUAAUUAAUGUGAAUUGCAGAAUUCAGUGAAUCAUCGAAUCUUUGAACGCACAUUGCGCCCCUUGGCAUUCCGAGGGGCAUGCCUGUUCGAGCGUCAUUGCAACCCUCAAGCACCGCUUGGUUCUGGGCGUCGUCCGCAGGGACGUGCCCGAAAGACAGUGGCGGCCCGGCCGGGGCCCCGAGCGUAGUAGAUUACCUUUCGCUCCGGGCGCUCCCGCGGCGGCCAGCCAGCCAACACCCCCGAAUUUCAAUGGUUGACCUCGGAUCAGGUAGGGAUACCCGCUGAACUUAAGCAUAUCAAUAAGCGGAGGAAAAGAAACCAACAGGGAUUGCCUCAGUAACGGCGAGUGAAGCGGCAACAGCUCAAAUUUGAAAUCUGGUCCCUUCGGGGCCCGAGUUGUAAUUUGCAGAGGAUGUUUCGGGCGCGGCGCCGGUGUAAGUUCCUUGGAACAGGACGUCGUAGAGGGUGAGAAUCCCGUAUGCGACCGGUGACCAACCCCAUGUGAAACCCCUUCGACGAGUCGAGUUGUUUGGGAAUGCAGCUCAAA
rnacentral:rRNA from 1 species